GUUGAACGCUGGCGGCAUGCCUAACACAUGCAAGUCGAGCGGACGGACGGGGCUUUCUCCUGUAUUCAGCUACCGGCGGGUGGGUAAGUCCCAGGAAGCUACCUUGUAUUUGGGAAUAACAUCCGGACACGGGCGCUAAGACCGCAUACGUUAUUAUGGUGAAACGCGUGGAUCUUCGGACCUCACGCUAUCAGAUGAGCCUAGGUCGUAUUAGCUAGUUGGUUAGGUAAAGGCCUACCAAGGCGACGAUCCGUAACUGGUCUGAGAGGGUGAUCAGCCACACUGGAACUGAGACACGGUCCAGACUCCUACGGGAGGCAGCAGUAGGGAAUCUUCCACAAUGGGCGAAAGCCUGACGGAGCCAUGCCGCGUGUGUGAAGAAGGUCUUCGGAUUGUAAAGCUCUUUUAGUAGGGAGGAAGAGAAGUAAAAGAAUCCAUUCACGUCUUGACGUUACCAAAACAGAAAGCCACGGCUAACUUCGUG
rnacentral:rRNA from 1 species